rnacentral:rRNA from 1 species
AUUGAACGCUGGCGGCAGGCCUAACACAUGCAAGUCGAGCGGAUGAAGGGAGCUUGCUCCUGGAUUCAGCGGCGGACGGGUGAGUAAUGCCUAGGAAUCUGCCUGGUAGUGGGGGAUAACGUCCGGAAACGGGCGCUAAUACCGCAUACGUCCUGAGGGAGAAAGUGGGGGAUCUUCGGACCUCACGCUAUCAGAUGAGCCUAGGUCGGAUUAGCUAGUUGGUGGGGUAAAGGCCUACCAAGGCGACGAGCCGUAACUGGUCUGAGAGGAUGAUCAGUCACACUGGAACUGAGACACGGUCCAGACUCCUACGGGAGGCAGCAGUGGGGAAUAUUGGACAAUGGGCGAAAGCCUGAUCCAGCCAUGCCGCGUGUGUGAAGAAGGUCUUCGGGUUGUAAAGCACUUUAAGUUGGGAGGAAGGGCAGUAAGUUAAUACCUUGCUGUUUUGACGUUACCAACAGAAUAAGCACCGGCUAACUUCGUG